rnacentral:rRNA from 1 species
UACGUAGGGCGCAAGCGUUGUCCGGAAUUAUUGGGCGUAAAGAGCUCGUAGGCGGUUUGUCGCGUCGGCUGUGAAAACCCGAGGCUUAACCUCGGGCCUGCAGUCGAUACGGGCAGACUAGAGUUCGGUAGGGGAGACUGGAAUUCCUGGUGUAGCGGUGAAAUGCGCAGAUAUCAGGAGGAACACCGGUGGCGAAGGCGGGUCUCUGGGCCGAUACUGACGCUGAGGAGCGAAAGCGUGGGGAGCGAACAGG